UAUCGCGCGUUAGCUUCCCAUUAGGCCUUCUUCUAACCCUAAAUCAAACCCAACCUCUGAGGCGCCGCUUCUCAUCUUCUCCUCUUCCUUUUCUUCUCUAUUUUCUCACCUCUUCUCCUCAGACUCUGUGUUCCUGUCCUCUCUCUCUCUCUCUCUCGUAUUUAUUCUUGAUUCCACGACCUCUAAAAGUUUCAAUAAAACCUCCAGACGAGUGAAGAUCCGCACAACUCUAGAUUAGUAGUUCAUUUUGGAAUCUCAUUACUUGAUUCGAUGUUACCCCUGAUUUUGUUUCUCUUAACUUUUGCCGGUGAUUUCGCUUGUGAAGGCCACCAAAUUUCUCAUUUUCUCUAAAAUCUGGCCUCAAACAACCCUUUCCAUUCCAAACAUGGGCGGGUCAACAGAACUUUGCCGCCUCUUUUAAAACAGAACUCUGCUAGGGUUCACUUUUUUUUUUUUUCUCCUUAGAACUCUGCCGCCUCAGAACUCCUCCUCUCUAGAACGUUUGAUCUCUUCUUCUUUAUUCUCUUUUAUUUUUUCCCCUCUCCUGCAUUUGUCUUCCUUUCUUUUCUAUCUUGCCCUCAUCUCUUCUUUCUUUCCUCCUAUUGCAGGUGGGUCUCAGAAUUUUCUUCAAUUUCUAUAGUGGUCUGCUCCGGCAAGCAAUUAACCCGAAGCAACAAUAAUCUCUGAGCGCAACCACUCUUCAUUCGAUGAAUACAAGUCAGAUACUUGAAAGAGAGAGAGAGACAGGUAUAGGGCGAGCACCUUAGUUUGGUGGAGGAAACGUGUAGAAAUGGAAUGAGGAGGCGAAGGGGAAGAGUUCGGCAUGUUACAAACAAGAGAUAGAGAUCAACAUCGAAAGCUUUCCAGGAUACUUAUUGACCAUUGACAGGAACGUAUAUACAAACUGUGGAUUCGAAAGAACCAACACCAACUAUGUCAGAUUUGAUCUUCAGCAGCAAGGUGUUCGGACUAGAAAGCAACUACCCAACCCUUCACUUCCAAUCAAGCAUGUCUAGCAGCUCGAGGACCUCUUCCUCUGAGUUGGCAGCAUCGCAGAAAUCCAACUCAAUGCCAAAAACAUCGAUGAUCCCUUCAUUAUUGCCAUUAUCAAUAUGCUCGAAUCUCAUAAACAAAAGGGUAGCUAGGUGAAACAUCAAGAUCGGACAGCUAUUAUAUUUCUGUUCAAACAUGGAGUUUCAAAUACUAUGCAUUUUUAGAGCUGCACACCCACCACAGGCUAGCCAACAUCGUGAUACUUGGGAGUGCAUUUCAUGAGAAAGAAUCACCUAGAUUUAGUUGUGGUUGGUUUGUCUAAGGGAAGUUGCGCAUACCAAGGGUGAGGGCAACACCAUUGUUGGCUUUGAACAAGUGCUGAUGGAGCUUGCUCACAUUCAUGAGAAGAUUAAUUGCUUUACUUAGGUCAUUUCAGGGCUCCUGCUGGUGCCAUUGACUCUUGUGCUGACCAUCGUUGUGUUUUGGCAUGUUUAUCUUAUUCUGCAAAACAAGACCACAAUAGAGUACCAUGAAGGUGUGAGAGCUAUGUGGCUUGUUGAAAAAGGAGGUUAUCUGUAUUCACAUCCAUAUGAUCUUGGUGCUUAUGAGAAUAUGAUAUCAGUUUUAGGACCACAUAUCUUUUGCUGGGUAUGUCCCACCUCAGAGCAGAUUGGUUCUGGCCUUCGUUUUCGCGCGGGAGUUGAUAAGUUAGCAGGGAUAUCAUUUUAGACAUGUAGAGCUUGGAGUUUCAAUGAUUUUGUACUGCUGGUAGUAUUGGAGGCAAGGCAACAGGUCCUAUAUCAUUCAUUGAUGAUAAUCAAAUUCUGGUGUCCGCGUGCUUUCUUUUUGGAAAUACAACCAUUAAAAAAGAGUUUGUCUUGUGUAGCUCCUCCUUACAUCCAUGUUGUUGCAGAAGUAGUUCAAAGUUGACUGGGCUUCUGAAGCAGUCAGAUGUAAAAUAGGACCCUCCUUCUUAUGACUUUUUUUUUUCCAAAAGUACAGUCCUCAUGCAAUCAUGUACAAAUGACAGAGUUCUAGGCUAACUCACAGCAACUUCAAGUAGAAGAGAUAGGCCAAAAAUUGUAACUUAAAGAUGUUGUAAUAUUGUGAUUCUCAGGAAAUGUAUGAACCAUAAUUGAUUUAA